UUUAGUGGGUUUUAAAGUAUGUUAAAAAGGUAGAGUACAGGGGCUGCUAGGUAUAGCUGGGAGACAAAAAGUGACAGGACAUAUCCAACUCCAUCUAGGCCCCCCAUAUUCCAUUCUGAAAUACAGACUUGGACAUUGAUCAACCUAAUACAAUGUUACUUAUUUAAAUUGGAGUAAGAUGAGUGAGCACUGAUUUAAAUUGAAAACCCAUCCUAUCCCCCCCUAUCAUUUACACUUAAUUAGAUUCAACCUUUUUCUCAACUGAACACAAGUCUCCCUCUCAUAACAGGGUACCUCUGCUUCCUGUACUGUACAUGAUAGGUAAUAUACCAGUUCACUACCACUCUCUCACUCCUAUAUUGGAUGCUAGCAAGAAAAGCAAGAACGAAAAUGCACAGAAGCCAUCUAGUUCCCUCGCUUCUACUCCCUCUCUCUGUCCUCUCUCUGCAGGUCUUCUACUCCCUCUCUCUGCAGGUCUUCUACUCCCUCUCUCUGUCCUCUCUCUGCAGGUCUUCUACUCCCUCUCUCUGCAGGUCUUCUACUCCCUCUCUGUCCUCUCUCUGCAGGUCUUCUACUCCCUCUCUCUGUCCUCUCUCUGCAGGUCUUCUACUCCCUCUCUCAGUCCUCUCUCUGCAGGUCUUCUACUCCCUCUCUCUGUCCUCUCUCUGCAGGUCUUCUACUCCCUCUCUCUGCAGGUCUUCUACUCCCUCUCUCUGUCCUCUCUCUGCAGGUCUUCUACUCCCUCUCUCUGUCCUCUCUCUGCAGGUCUUCUACUCCCUCUCUCUGUCCUCUCUCUGCAGGUCUUCUACUCCCUCUCUCUGCAGGUCUUCUACUCCCUCUCUCUGUCCUCUCUCUGCAGGUCUUCUACUCCCUCUCUCUGUCCUCUCUCUGCAGGUCUUCUACUCCCUCUCUCUGCAGGUCUUCUACUCCCUCUCUCUGCAGGUCUUCUACUCCCUCUCUCAGUCCUCUCUCUGCAGGUCCUCCACAGCCUCCA